rnacentral:rRNA from 1 species
UCGACUACAUGAAGCUGGAAUCGCUAGUAAUCGCGGAUCAGAAUGCCGCGGUGAAUACGUUCCCGGGUCUUGUACACACCGCCCGUCACACCAUGGGAGUCAGUAACGCCCGAAGUCAGUGACCCAACCGUAAAGGAGGGGAGCUGCCGAAGGCGGGACGGAUAACUGGGGGUGAAGUCGUAACAAGGUAAC